CUGUCUGUGACGUCAAGCCUUAGGCUGUCUAUUAUUAUUAUAUCGAUUCUGCGACUAUUUUGAACAAUCAUAGUGUUUGGUAUUGACUCCCUUAUCUAUAAUAUUCGGUUCUACGCUAAUUUUGAGUUAAAAACAAAUAUUUUAGUGUUUGACUUUCUAAUAAAUUUUCAGUGAUUUUUUUACUGUAUAAUUUCUUUUUUAGCUGCUGCAGUACCUGUUUAUGAUAAUUAUGGCACUAAAUCAACAUGCAACAUGUAUGCAAUCUGCAAAGUCUGUGAGAAGGAAUUUUCAAGCAUAUCAAUGAGAAACAAAUAUCUUAAGAAGUUUCACCAAGAAUUUGUUGGCCAGGAAUACAAGAAACACAUUACAUGUCUAAUGUAUACCAACAAUACCCAGGAAUUUUGAAUAAGAUACCUACCUCUUGGAGGGCACAAAGUAAUAGGGAGAUUGAUUCUGAUUGUCAGAUCCGAAAUAAAUUUAAGAAUGGAGAAGAACAUUAUAUUAUACAAUUAUAACAGGAGUGACAUUAAAAGAUUCAAUAUCUCAUGUAAAAAGAGAUGACACAAUAGAAAGGCCAAACUUGGUAACAAGAGGUAACAUGGCAUAUUUGAUAAGGAAAUAUAAUGUUGACAAGAAAAGAGACCAUUAUAAUAUGGUAGCCACUGCUUUAAGAAUUAAUGGGAAAGGAAAAAUGGCCAAGGGAAAAAUUAUGCUUUGUUUUCAAAUGAAUUGGGGAUUCUUAUCUGGGACUGAAUGAUAACAAUUUUGCUACAUACAUUGAAUUAUGGAGAAGAAAUCAAAAGAUUGUAAAUAUCAAUUUAAAGACCCUAGGUGUUUGGUUUCUAUCUAUAUAGGUGUACCCAUAUUUUAUCUUGAGACUAUUUUAGCUUAUUGAGCGCCGAAAACCUAACUGAAUUGCUUCAAAACGAAGAUGGAAUGAUGAGGGACAGACCCUCUGUGAAUAUAUUUAUUUAUGAAAAUGUAUAAAGAAAAGUAUUUUUUUUCUUUCAUGGUACUACAAAAAAAAUCUGUUGAAUGGAAGGUUGGGCUGUUCGUGACCAGCAGAGAUGACAAUGCUAGCUAAAGAAGUGCUAGUGUACAUACCAAGCAUGAUGGAUUUAGUUUUUUCUCUACCAUUUUAGUUUUAAGUUGUUAUUAUUUAAUAUAAUACAUUUUGACCAAUCUUAAUAUAAUAUAGAGUCCAUAGUAUAGUUUAUUGUAAAAACUAUUAAUAUAAAACAUGUUAUUAUAAAAUUUAACGUAUAUUUGCUAAAAUUUAAAACAUUUCAGUAAGCUAGUCGGCAUUAAGAUAGUUGAUAAAUAUGAUGAGAAUUUUUUCAUUUCGAAGUAAUAUCACUGUCAUCACAAUGAUUUAAAUAAUUUUCAAAUUUUCUUUGAAAACUACUCAGCAAGUAAGUUGCCUCAAAAUAUUUAUGGAAUAUUUACUUCUUAUGGCGACUAUGAUAAUGCUAUGGGGUUUUAUCAAAACAAUGCCUGAACAGUUAUACAAAAAUUAA